rnacentral:misc_RNA from 1 species
ACCAAACCCACUGCCACCCAAUUACAAUGCUAACCUAUAUUGCCAAUUCCAUCAAACUCAUGGCCAUGACACUGAUAGAUGUUUUCGGCUAAAACACGAAGUUCAGGACUUGAUCGAUGCUAAGAAAAUAGCUGACCCAGAAAAUCGACCCAACACACGUACCAACCCAAUGCCCAACCAUAAUGUUCCACCUCCACCAGGACUUUACAUGAUUUCCACCACCUCAAUUGACCCUGACCAAAUUCUCAACCUUAUCCAACCUAUCCAAAAGCUUGAUGAACCUCGAUCUGUAAUGACAAUUGAUAUUUGGGAUAGUUCCAGUGAUGAGGAAGGUUUGUUAGAUGUUUGGGUUGACUCUGACGGAGAGGAAAAGAGUAGGGUGAGCCAUAUGACCAAGAGUGGUGGAUAUUAUCCUGAUCCACCCAUGGAGAAGGACAACGUGAGAGGGAAAGCCAAGGUGUUGGCUGAAGAGGACACAGAUGAAGAGGAUGAUCAGUUCCUUAGGCAAUUGAAGAGGACUCAGGCUAGUGUAACGGUCUGGGAAUUGCUAUUGGCAUCAGAAAAACACAGAACCGCACUGACUAAGGCCCUAAGUGUACUCAAGGUCUCCACGGAGAUAACUCCAGAAGAGAUUGCCAAAGUUGUGCUUAUAGAAGAUGGGGGUCAUAUUACUUUCUCUGAUCAUGAUCUCCCAGCUGAGGGGAGAAACCAUAGUAGGGCUCUGUUCGUGACCGCCGAGGUUAGAGGGUGGAAAGUGCCUUGUGUGAUGAUAGAUGAUGGGUCAGCCAUCAACGUAUGCCCUCUGAAGAUUUUGCCAAAAUUAGGAAUUUCUAUGUCUGAACUAACUGGUUCUGAUCUGGUUAUCAGGGCCUAUGAUGAUUCAAAGAGAAACGUGAUAGGGGUAUUCAAGACUAUGGUUAAGGUGGGGCCUGUAGAGACCGAAGUUGAGUUUACUGUGCUAGACAUCCCCAUGACAUUCUCCUUACUGUUGGGUAGAAUCUGGUUCCAUCCCUUAGGUGGAGUCCCCUCUACACUCCACCAAAAGAUCAAGAUCCCGUAUCAAGAUGGUAUAAUCACCGUCAAUGCUGAAAGAGAUGGGGAAGUAGCUAUGCUGCAAGUGGAUGGUUCGGUACCACUAUUGUCUGGUUUCCAAGUUGCUGGGAUCUAUGGAGACUGGAUGGACCCUAGGGUGGCCACUAUGAUGAAAGAGAUGAAGUUUUUUCCUGGCAUGGGUCUGGGAAAACGAGCUAAUGGCUUAGUGACUUUUCCAGAAAUAAAGGGGCAGAUCACUAGAUAUGGGCUGGGCUAUCAGCCAACUGAAGAUGAAGAGGGACUCAAGCCCACCAAGUUUAUCAGGGAGGGCGCAAUUGCAUGGACUGAUGACCAGGAGCUGCCGCAUGUUGAGGAAUUAGAACAAGAGGUCAAUGUCAUCAAGUUAAGGUCUGCUUGGAAGCCAAGCACUUGGACCUACACCCCUAAGUUUGAGUCUGUCUUUUGUAAUGCUCACAGUAG